GGGUAGUUUGACUGGGGCGGUCUCCUCCUAAAGAGUAACGGAGGAGCACGAAGGUUGGCUAAUCCUGGUCGGACAUCAGGAGGUUAGUGCAAUGGCAUAAGCCAGCUUGACUGCGAGCGUGACGGCGCGAGCAGGUGCGAAAGCAGGUCAUAGUGAUCCGGUGGUUCUGAAUGGAAGGGCCAUCGCUCAACGGAUAAAAGGUACUCCGGGGAUAACAGGCUGAUACCGCCCAAGAGUUCAUAUCGACGGCGGUGUUUGGCACCUCGAUGUCGGCUCAUCACAUCCUGGGGCUGAAGUAGGUCCCAAGGGUAUGGCUGUUCGCCAUUUAAAGUGGUACGCGAGCUGGGUUUAGAACGUCGU
rnacentral:rRNA from 1 species